rnacentral:rRNA from 1 species
CCCUUAGAUGUUCUGGGCCGCACGCGCGCUACAAUGGUCUUCGCAAACGGAUGCAUUCUCGAAGGAGAAUGCCAAUCUUGGAAUCUAUGCCUUGGUCGGGACAGUUGCUUGCAAUUUUUCGACUCGAACCAGGAAUUCCUUGUAAUCGUGAUUCAUCACAUCACGAUGAAUACGUCCCUGCCCCUUGUACACACCGCCCGUCGCUCCUACCGAUCGAAGAGUUAGGUGAAUUGUUUUGAUCGAUAAGAUUUGACUAUGGUCAACUCUCGUUGUGAAAUUCUGUGAAUCUGACUGUUUAGAGGAAGGAAAAGUCGUAACA